CCUUCCCCAUACUCCUUCUCAUUAUAAGAUGAGUCUGGAAAGUUUUUUCGCUAAAGGAUUGGGCUAUAUGGUAUCAGCUUGUUGGUGAGGUAACGGCUCACCAAGGCUAUGACGCCUAACUGGUCUGAGAGGAUGAUCAGUCACACUGGAACUGAGACACGGUCCAGACUCCUACGGGAGGCAGCAGUGGGGAAUAUUACACAAUGGAGGAAACUCUGAUGUAGCAACGCCGCGUGGAGGAUGACACAUUUCGGUGCGUAAACUCCUUUUAUAUGGGAAGAUAAUGACGGUACCAUAUGAAUAAGCACCGGCUAACUCCGUGCCAGCAGUCGCGGUAAUACGGAGGGUGCAAGCGUUACUCGGAAUCACUGGGCGUAAAGCGCAUGUAGGCGGUCUUGUAAGUUGGGUGUGAAAGCCUAUGGCUCAACCAUAGAACUGCACCCAAAACUACUAGACUAGAGUCUGGGAGAGGAAAAUGGAAUUAGUUGUGUAGGGGUAAAAUCCGUAGAGAUAACUAGGAAUACCAAAAGCGAAGGCAAUUUUCUGGAACAUUACUGACGCUCAGAUGCGAAAGCGUGGGUAGCAAACAGGAUUAGAUACCCUGGUAGUCCACGCCCUAAACGAUGAAUGUUAGUCGUCGGGAGGCUCGUCCUUUCGGUGAUGCAGCUAACGCAUUAAACAUUCCGCCUGGGGAGUACGGUCGCAAGAUUAAAACUCAAAGGAAUAGACGGGGACCCGCACAAGUGGUGGAGCAUGUGGUUUAAUUCGAAGAUACGCGAAGAACCUUACCUAGCCUUGACAUUGAUAGAAUCCGAUGGAAACAUUGGAGUGCCAGUUUACUGGAGCUUGAAAACAGGUGCUGCACGGCUGUCGUCAGCUCGUGUCGUGAGAUGUUGGGUUAAGUCCCGCAACGAGCGCAACCCUCGUCCUUAGUUACUAACGGUUCGGCCGAGGACUCUAAGGAGACUGCCUUCGUAAGGAGGAGGAAGGUGAGGACGACGUCAAGUCAUCAUGGCCCUUACGGCUAGGGCGACGCACGUGCUACAAUGGAUAGGACAAUGAGACGCAAUACCGCGAGGUGGAGCAAAUCUAUAAACCUAUUCUCAGUUCGGAUUGUAGUCUGCAACUCGACUACAUGAAGCUGGAAUCACUAGUAAUCGUAGAUCAGCCAUGCUACGGUGAAUACGUUCCCGGGUCUUGUACUCACCGCCCGUCACACCAUGGGAGUUGAUUUCACCCGAAGCGGGGAAGCUAAACUGGCUACCCUCCACGGUGGAAUCAGCGACUGGGGUGAAGUCGUAACAAGGUAACCAAGGGC
rnacentral:rRNA from 1 species